rnacentral:rRNA from 2 species
UUAAAAUGAGAGUUUGAUCCUGGCUCAGGACGAACGCUGGCGGCGUGCCUAAUACAUGCAAGUCGAACGAAACUUUCUUACACCGAAUGCUUGCAUUCACCGUAAGAAGUUGAGUGGCGGACGGGUGAGUAACACGUGGGUAACCUGCCUAAAAGAAGGGGAUAACACUUGGAAACAGGUGCUAAUACCGUAUAUCUCUAAGGAUCGCAUGAUCCUUAGAUGAAAGAUGGUUCUGCUAUCGCUUUUAGAUGGACCCGCGGCGUAUUAACUAGUUGGUGGGGUAACGGCCUACCAAGGUGAUGAUACGUAGCCGAACUGAGAGGUUGAUCGGCCACAUUGGGACUGAGACACGGCCCAAACUCCUACGGGAGGCAGCAGUAGGGAAUCUUCCACAAUGGACGCAAGUCUGAUGGAGCAACGCCGCGUGAGUGAAGAAGGUCUUCGGAUCGUAAAACUCUGUUGUUAGAGAAGAACACGAGUGAGAGUAACUGU